GACGAACGCUGGCGGCGCGCCUAACACAUGCAAGUCGAACGAGCGAGAGGAGGUUUACUUUCUCAAGCGAGUGGCGAACGGGUGAGUAACGCGUGAGGAACCUGCCUCAAAGAGGGGGACAACAGGUGGAAACGACUGCUAAUACCGCAUAAGCCCACGACCCGGCAUCGGGUAGAGGGAAAAGGAGCAAUCCGCUUUGAGAUGGCCUCGCGUCCGAUUAGCUAGUUGGUGAGGUAAUGGCGCACCAAGGCGACGAUCGGUAGCCGGAAUGAGAGGUUGAACGGACACAUUGGGACUGAGACGCGGCCCAGACUACUACGGGAGGCAGCAGUGGGGAAUAUUGCACAAUGGGGGAAACCCUGAUGGAGCGACGCCGCGUGGAGGAAGAAGGUCUUCGGAUUGUAAACUCCUGUUGUUGAGGAAGAUAAUGACGGUACUAAACAAGGAAGUGACGGCUAACUACGUG
rnacentral:rRNA from 1 species